rnacentral:rRNA from 1 species
GAUGAACGCUGGCGGCGUGCCUAAUACAUGCAAGUCGAGCGAACAGAUAAGGAGCUUGCUCCUUUGACGUUAGCGGCGGACGGGUGAGUAACGCGUGGGUAACCUACCUAUAAGACUGGGAUAACUUCGGGAAACCGGAGCUAAUACCGGAUAACAUUUGGAACCGCAUGGUUCCAAAGUGAAAGAUGGUUUUGCUAUCACUUAUAGAUGGACCCGCGCCGUAUUAGCUAGUUGGUAAGGUAACGGCUUACCAAGGCGACGAUACGUAGCCGACCUGAGAGGGUGAUCGGCCACACUGGAACUGAGACACGGUCCAGACUCCUACGGGAGGCAGCAGUAGGGAAUCUUCCGCAAUGGGCGAAAGCCUGACGGAGCAACGCCGCGUGAGUGAUGAAGGGUUUCGGCUCGUAAAACUCUGUUAUUAGGGAAGAACAAAUGUGUAAGUAACUGUGCACGUCUUGACGGUACCUAAUCAGAAAGCCACGGCUAACUACGUG